rnacentral:rRNA from 1 species
GACGAACGCUGGCGGCGUGCUUAACACAUGCAAGUCGUGCGGUAAGGCCCCUUUUGGGGGUACACGAGCGGCGAACGGGUGGGUAACACGUGAGUGACCUGCCUUCAACUUUGGGAUAAGCCUCGGAAAUGGGGUCUAAUACCGGAUAUGAUUCUGCGCUUCAUGGUGUGGGGUUGAAAGCCUUUUGGGGUGGUUGGGGAUGGGCUCGCGGCCUAUCAGCUUGUUGGUGGGUGAUGGCCUACCAAGGCGG